GGGCUGAUUCUCUACGCUGAUCCUCCUAUAAUCCCGUAGAUGAUUAUCGUAAUUACCCCCUCAGUCUUCGAGUGAGGAAAAAAUUAUAGGAUGAAUUUAAGCAUGAUUGCCACGUGGAAGGGCAUAUUGGGAAUUACGAGGAAAUGAAAUUUGUACAAAUGGGAAUGCUGGGGAGAGGAUUAUGUUUACCUUCACCUUAUCAGCAAAUGAAGAACGAAUGAUUCACAGAAAACCAAAAGCCACAUCUCAUUUUUAUACUUAAAUUCACUUCUCCUUUUCCAUACUUUGAUCAAACACUUUCCCUUGUCUCUGCUUUUCUUUUUUCUUUCCCUUUUCUGGUUGAUUAUGGCGUUAGCUGAGAGCUCGAACUUGCUUUCUUAUUCCUCUACUAUCAUGCUUGAAGACGAGGAUGAUCAUGAUACUGAUGAUGGGUAUGAUAAUGAUCAUCAAUCUCAUCCCCAUAAUUUGUCUAGGUUGUCUGUCUGUACCAGUUCUAUGUAUACUAUUGAAGAUGAUGAUUGUCAAGAUUGCGAUCGUAUGAGGAUGUUCGUGUCAAGAUUGUCCUUUGAAAGCUUCGAUGCAGAUGAGGAACUUUCCAAUGACGAAGAAGGGAUUGGCAUGCUUGACCUCUCCUUGGAUUCGGAUGAGGAAACCGGUUGCUACUCGCUUCCAGCUACACCCCCUCGCCAUAGAAAUAGCGGAGGGCGGGUAAAUAAGCUGCUUGUGGGUGUCAAGGAGUAUGCCAGUGAAAAUGAAGCUCAAAAGGGUAAGAUGAGAAACAAUCUGAGGACGAGGAGAAGAAGGGUUGUAAGAGAAAAAUUGGUUGAUGGUGAUGAUAAGAGUAAAAAGAAGGAUGAGGAGAGUAUGGCUGUGGGAAUGGGUAAUUACCAUUGUUACUGUAAUAGUUUUAGUGGGGAGAGUGAAGGCGGAGGGCUGGUGGUGAUAACGAGGCCAAAGGGAGGGAGGAGGUCAUUGUGCAUGGACAUGGAGGAAGUGAAGGCUUGCAGAGAUCUUGGUUUUGAGUUGGAGCAUGAGCGCAUGCUGGAAAUGCCUGGUCGUGUGUCUCUGUCAGGAUCUACCCUCGAUACAAGCAGCGGUGGCAAUUCGCCUAUCGCCAACUGGCGGAUUUCUAGCCCUGGUUAGUGUUCGAUAUAUAAUCUCUUCAUUCUCAUUCUGAAGCAUAAUUUUGAGUCUAGAGAUUGAAAUGGGGACUAAGAAUUAAUUGAACACUUCAAAUUAUUACAGCUUUGCAUACUGGGCUUGUGUUAUUUCUUGCAUUGUUGCUUAAAGCUAGAAACUUUGUUCCGAUUUGCGUGUUUUUGAGUGUUACUUUUUUAUGCAGGUGAUGAUCCACGAGAAGUGAAGGCCCGCCUAAAGGUAUGGGCACAAGCAGUGGCGCUUGCGUCUGCGUCUCGACACUGCGGCAUCUGACUGUUAAUGUUUGUGGAUUCUAAUCCAUUCCUCUUUUUGCAACUUUUUAAUUUUUUUUACAUCUAAACCAAAAAAGAAAUAUAUCUAUAUUUUGAAGGAUACAUAUAGUCUUGAUUUUCAAUCUAGGUUGGGUGAUUUGGAAUUUGGGGAUGGACUUUCUUUUUCCUUGGUGGAAAAAUAUUUUCCUUUUUUGAAGGUUAUCCUGAUCAUUUUGUCGGUAGAUUGUUGUGGUGUUGGGAUUUCAAGGGGAAGUCUCUAUCACUGCUUUCCUUCUUUACAUGUUUCAGCUGUUGUAAAUAUGAUCAGAUGAUCGGCGCUGGAUGCCUACCGGUUGACUCAAAACAGUUGAUUAUUACUAUUGUGAUUUUUGAUGCUUGUAUUAACCUUUCAUUGUGGUUUGUUAUUAACAGUAUUGAGAGUGAGAUUGUCUUGCAAUGUGUUAUUAAAAAUGAGGGAAAAAAAAAGGUUAAGUUAAUUUACUUGUGACUUUAGAGCUCUACGUUAUCAAUGUCAUGUUGAAGUUUUAUGUUAUGAGCAAAACCA
rnacentral:misc_RNA from 1 species